rnacentral:rRNA from 1 species
UACGUAGGGGGCAAGCGUUGUCCGGAUUCAUUGGGCGUAAAGAGCGUGUAGGCGGCCAGGUAGGUCGGUUGUGAAAACUGGAGGCUCAACCUUCAGAGGUCGACCGAAACCAUCUGGCUAGAGUCCGGGAGAGGAGAGUGGAAUUCCUGGUGUAGCGGUGAAAUGCGCAGAUAUCAGGAAGAACACCCGUGGCGAAAGCGGCUCUCUGGAACGGUACUGACGCUGAGGCGCGACAGCGUGGGGAUCAAACAGG